rnacentral:rRNA from 1 species
GGUGAGGACGCGUGGAUAAUCUGCCUUAGAGUGGGGGAUAACUAGUCGAAAGAUUAGCUAAUACCGCAUAAGACCACAGGAGCUGCGGCUCUAGGGGUCAAAGGUUUUUCGCUCUAAGAUGAGUCCGCGUAAGAUUAGCUAGUUGGUGAGGUAACGGCUCACCAAGGCGACGAUCUUUAACUGGUCUGAGAGGAUGAUCAGUCACACUGGAACUGAGACACGGUCCAGACUCCUACGGGAGGCAGCAGUAGGGAAUAUUGCACAAUGGAGGAAACUCUGAUGCAGCGACGCCGCGUGAGUGAUGAAGGCCUUCGGGUCGUAAAGCUCUGUCGCAGGGGAAUAACACAAUGAAUGUACCCUGUAAGAAAGGAUCGGCUAACUUCGUGCCAGCAGCCGCGGUAAGACGAGGGAUCCUAGCGUUGUUCGGAAUUAUUGGGCGUAAAGCGGAUGUAGGUGGCUUUGUAAGUCAGAUGUGAAAGCCCAGGGCUCAACCCUGGAAGUGCAUUUGAUACUGCGAAGCUUGAGUGUCGGAGAGGUUACUAGAAUUGUUGGUGUAGUGGUGAAAUACGUAGAUAUCAACAGGAAUACCGGAGGCGAAGGCGGGUAACUGGCCGAACACUGACACUGAGAUCCGAAAGCGUGGGGAUCAAACAGGAUUAGAUACCCUGGUAGUCCACGCCGUAAACGAUGGAUACUUGUUGUUGGAGGUAUUGACCCCUUCAGUGACGAAGCUAACGCGUUAAGUAUCCCGCCUGGGGAGUACGGUCGCAAGAUUAAAACUCAAAGAAAUUGACGGGGGCCCGCACAAGCGGUGGAGCAUGUGGUUUAAUUCGAUGCAACGCGAAGAACCUUACCUAGGCUUGACAUGUACUGGAAGACUGGCAGAAAUGUCGUCGCCCGCAAGGGUCGGUACACAGGUGCUGCAUGGCUGUCGUCAGCUCGUGUCGUGAGAUGUUGGGUUAAGUCCCGCAACGAGCGCAACCCCUGCAUUUAGUUGCCAGCAUUCAGUUGGGCACUCUAGAUGGACUGCCGGUGUUAAACCGGAGGAAGGUGGGGAUGACGUCAAGUCCUCAUGGCCCUUAUGCCUAGGGCUACACACGUGCUACAAUGGUGGUCACAAACUGAAGCGAAGCCGCAAGGUGGAGCAAAUCGGAGAAAAGCCAUCUAAGUUCAGAUUGAUCUCUGCAACUCG